rnacentral:lncRNA from 10 species
GAACUCAGGAAAAUUCUCACGAUUCUGGUUAUUGGGAGGAAAUGUUGUCUCUAUCUAAGUGCAGUUUCCCCUCAACACUAUAAUAUUCUCCCCAGGAAAGAGGGCCUCCUGUUUCUUUUCAAAUGUUGGGGGCUUGCCAGGCCAACAGGUGUCUCCUGGGAUCCUCUGAAACGGUAUGUAUCACUGAUUCUCAAAAGAGGAAAAUUAAGGAGUGUCAAAAAGAGAACGAGAGAGAAGCAGGAUGCUCUGGAGAAUGAAAGAUGCUGUACAUUCUGUAAAUCAUUUUGCUGGUUUCAAUAGAAAGUCCAGACCAAGUGGAAUAAAGUGCAUUUUGUGGGUCAGAUGUAAAAGACAGAAGAGACCUGCCCAAAGAAACAUUCCGUGGUACCAGAGGAAAUCGAGCACCAAGAGGCCUUUUUAUCCCCCCUAUACUCAAAGAUGAAAACUAGACUAGGGUCCCUUUUCAAGGUAAAAUGACAGGCAGGUCCAUUAAGCUGCUGUGAAAUUGUUCCCCAUCCUGCAAAUUCAUCCACCAGACCGGGCCCUGCAUCUUACUCAUCCUCAUGUCUCCAUUGUCUGAUAUAAGACCUGGCACAAAUUGGUACUUCCUGCUUGUUAGUGAAACUCAAUAUAUCACACAAUUAAGUACUUUUCCAUUUUAAGAUUGAACAGUAAACCUACCCUGUCUCCCUCUGUUCUCUGCUCUAACUCCUAGUUUGCUGUGGUGAUCACCCUUUAGUGUCUUAACAAGAUUCAAGGCACUGUUCACAUCCCACUAAAUUAGUUCCCUAUGGUUCCUAUAACAAAUUACUACAGACUUAGUGGCUUAAACCAACAGGGGUUUAUUAUGUUAUAGUUCUAGAGGUCAGAAAUCCAAAAUGGUUUUCAUUGGCCUAAAAUCAAGGUGUCAGCUGGGCCAUGUUCCUUCUGGAGGCUCUAGGGAAGAAUCCAUUUUUUUUUGUUUGUUUGUUUUUUGGAUUCUGCUUGCAUUCCUUGGCUCAAAUCUCCCCAGCUCAAGGCUCUUAACUUAAUCACACCUGUAAAAUCCUUUUGGUCAUGCAAAGUAAUAUAUUGACAGGUCCAAGGGAUUAGAACAGGGUCAUCUUGGGGGUGUGGGGAGCAUCAUUCUGUCUACCAAAACCACAGAACCACAGCUCUUCAGGCCAAAAACCUAGGGGUUUUUCAUGAUUCUCUUCUUCCCCUCAAUCUUUACGUCCAAUCUGCCAAUAAAUCUGGUUGGUUUAACAUCCAGAAUAUAUCCUGAAUCUAAUGACUUUUCACCUUCUCUUUUGAACAGUCUUAUCCAGGCUACCAUCAAUUUUUGCUUGAAUGACUUCAGUAGCUCCCUAAUUAUUCUUCUUACUUCUAUUCUUACUCCUCCCUCUAGCAGAACAGUCUAUUGCACAGAAAUAAUAAUAGAAAAGGAACCUUAAGAAAAAGAACACAGACCACGUCAUUCCAUCGCCCAAAGCACUCCAGUGGGUUUCUUCCCAUCAUGGCUAGAAAUUUUCCAGAUUCCCGAUUGUGCCUCCCUCUCCCAGAUUAUGCACCAUCUGCUUACUUCUCUGACCUAGGCUAUGUGCCAUCUGACUACUUCUCUGACCUCAUUUACUGUUGUCCCCUUCACUUCCUUGCUCCAGUCGUAUUUGCCUUAUUGUUGUUGUUUUUUAAAUGUACCCAGCCCACUGUCACCUCAGGGCCUUUGCACUUGUUAAUCCCCCUCCUUCCAGCUCUGCUUAAGACCUCUCCU